CGAAUAUAUUUAUUGACAAUGCUUUUUAUUCCAAGUAUAAUCCUAGAUAAGUAUAACUUAUGUCGGUCUUUUUAUGUCUGACUAGGGAUGUGUGACGUCAGAGUGCAGCUUAAAUAUAGAACAUGACAAUUGCUUCCCCAGACUUAGAGCGGCACUAUUCUGUCUCAAAUGUGCUGAAGACCGAUUUUCAAGUAUAAAAAUGAUACAACAUUCAGUUAAGUUUAAUUUUUGCCAUGUUCAUAGCUCAUAUGUUUCCUUAAAUUCACCCUUUACAUAUACACAGCUAGAUUAUUGAAGAUGAUCUUUUUUUAAUACACAACUCAAACAGUG
rnacentral:lncRNA from 1 species